CUCUCUCUCUCUCUCUCUCUCUCUCUCUCUCUCUCUCUAAGUCUUCAUCUUUUAGCAGCUAGCAUUGUGCAUGGAGGGGACUGCUUAUGUUGAUUGGGUGGAGGUGUUGCCGAUUAUGUGGUGCUCGUGAUCAAUCAGAAAAUUUGACUGCAAAGGAAUUGCAUUACAAGAGGUAUAACUUUGAUUCCUUAUCUUGUUCAUUCGUAAGGAUCCAUUUCAAGGGAAAUAUUUUGUUUUUACUCGCUGUGUUUAUUCUGUUAUAAUAUACGAUUCCCUUUAGUGUUUAUAAGUGGAGGUAAUAUUCACCCCAAAAACUAAUUAUGUGGGAUUGUGUUAAGUCCAACCACAAUUUCUAAGAAUUCAUAUUUGGUGAUAGAUUUCAAAACAUUUGGCUCAUUGGAAAACUAAUUAGCAUUGUAGGUGUACAUUGGUGAUUUUUUUUUUUAAACUUUAGUACAGGAUUGUCCUUCGCUUUUUCUAACAAAUCUACAAUUUUGAUCUUCUUAUUUUUAAUUUCACAAAUUAAUACCUCUAUUUUUUAAAAUUUAUACAUUUGGUCUACCAAUCAAUGCGACUCUUAGUUUUGAUUAAGUAGAAAAUAGAUGCGAGAUGUGGCAUUUAAUGUAGGCAAAUUCUAUGAUACACCCAAUAUAUUUGAGUGCAUCGGUACACCAAUUCUUUAAAUUAAUAGUUAAAUGAGUUGUUUUUUGAAAAAAAAUAUUAUUUUUUAUCAUUUAUAAUUAUAAUAACUAAAUCUUAUUCAUCAAAAGUGUCAACGAAAUAUUUUUUUUUUUGAAUUUUUAUCACUCAUAAUUGAGAACAUUUAUUAUUUUUUACGAUAAUAUGUAAAAAAAAGUUACUAUGAUUCUUAUAAACAGUAAAAUGAUAUAUUUUUUCGUAUGAAAUGUUGUUCUGUAAAAUAUAAGUAUUGACAAAUAGCUAUUUACAACAUAAAAAAUGAUCGUUAAUUUAUAAAAUUAAGAUGCAAGAGUACCGGUACACCUCAUCUUGUGAGUGUACCGUAGACCUUUAAUGUAUGCUUAAGCGGAUUUGUAAAAAAAAAGCAUGCUUAAGUGAAAGCCAUGUCACCGUUUAUGCUACUUAACAUUAGAUCAUUACAAGUUUGUAGUAAUGUUCGAUAUUUUCAUAACCCAUAAGAGCAAACAAUGUCUAAAAGGCUAUUCGAAAUAUUAACAUGUAAAAGAAAUAUAAAUUGCAGUUUGAGAAAAUUUACAAAUGUAACAGUAUUAUUAUGACACGUACAUAAAAUCACAGGCUUAGAAGUAACAAAACUGUUUUGUAAACUUAACUAUUACAGAUAUUAUAAUGAGCGGUAUGGUGGAAAAGAAAAUGUGAUAUCCUUAAAUUGGAGUUCAUGGGGAUAUUAUAAUUGGAUUUCAUUAUCAUAAUUUUAGAGAGCUAUUAUAUCACUAAAAAGUUUUUGAAAUAAUAAAAAGGAAAAAAAAAAACAUUUUUUUGGGUGGCAAGAAAAUAACUAAAUGACAGCUUGUGGAACAUUAUAGCAGAGCAUUUGUGUUCUAUUUUGGGUCUGAAACUAAAUGAAGAAUUAUGUGAGCACAUGAUAGUUUCACCACCUUUUAUAACAAUGAUUGCAAUAUCCAUCCUCACACCCCGGUUUAUAACCAGGGGGACACAUAUUUUGUGGACAAUCAGAACCAGUAUUACAUGGAUAAGGCCCUGUAACAAAAAAAAAAAGACAAUAAAAAGUGUAACUAAAAUGGGAUAAUAUAUUGUGUCGAAAGUAGAGAAUAAAAUCUUAACUGGUUAAAAAUGGUUUACUUCCUCCCUUCGUUGCAACCAAAAAUAGGGAAACAAAGAUAAUCAUACUAUAAACAAAAUUGACAAUUUUAGCCAUAUUCCCCUCCUUUUUUUCUUCUUCAUAAUAUAUGUAUUUAUCACAUUUUCAUUUAUAAAGCUCAUCUUCUUCUUAACAUUAUAAAUAUUUAAAAAUAUUCAUGAGUUGUGUUUGUCUCUUCAGCAUACUAAUAAAAGGUCACACAAAAAAAAAAAACUUUUUAAAUUUAUAUAUAUUACAAUGUUCUUUUAUAUGUUUAUAAUAUAUUAACAUAUUAAUAUAUUAGUUAUGACUAUAUAAUUUAUAAAGGUCAUCUACUUCUUCACAUUAUAAAUAUUAAAAAAUAUUCAUGUGCAGUAUUUGUUUGUUAGGCAUAAAGAAAGAGUUAACACAAAAAUUUAUUCUUAAUACUCCCUCCGUCCCAAAUUAUAUGAUGUUUUUGGGCAUUUCACACGUAUUAAGAAAUGUAAUUAAUAUUGUGUGGGAAAGAGAUAUUAUGAGUUUUUCUACAAAAUUGUCCUUAAUAAAUGAUAUGGGAAAGAUAAAUGAAAGAAUUGAAAGAAGAGAGAGUAAUAAAUAGUUAAGAAUAUAAUAGAAAAAGUAACAUUAAUAUUACAUUGAUAUUGUAAAGCGACAUAUAAUUUGAGACAAAUUUUUUUUCUUCUUCAAAAUGACAUACAAUUUAGGACGGAGAGAGUAUUAUAUUAAGAAGCUGUCCUCCUUGAAUAUUCAAAAAUUCUUCUGAAAAUUUUAAUAGAACACGUCAUCUGCAAGUUUUCCUCCUUGAAUAUCUCGAUAGGACAUGUCUUUAUUUUGAUAGCAUGAUGAGACAAGUUAAUUUUUUUUGGUGUUUGACGUUCGAUCCACAGAUCUUACAUAUAUUAUGUAUUGUCCUUAGAACUAAGCUUAUGGGAACAAACAAGUUAAUUUAUUAAUAUGAUGGAAUAUGCUGUUUGAUUUGCUAACUUAAUUGAUUUAAUUCUAGAAUGGUUUUUACGAGUUUGUAACAAAUUCAUGAAUUCACGCAAUCAACCAUUAAAGAUCUUGGGAUUUGUUCAAAACUAGUCUCGAACCACCAACUUUUUCAUUUCCUUAAUCUUUAGUCUAAACUCAAGAAAAUUAAAUACAUUUUUUUUAAGAAACUAAAAUGGUAUAUAUUCACAAUAACAAAGACGCCUGUUAAGCAUAAGGCGAAUUAAAGAGAUCACUCAAAGUACAAAUAGUAUGUCAAAUAGAUACAAAAUAAGGCAUCAACCGAUACCCAAACAAAACAAAGAGUCUGACCGCCACUGCUGACAACCAUACACAAAAGAGGAACUAUUAGCCCUUAACCACACGUAAGAAUUAAACUAAUUUACCUUUUCCAUAAGACUCGUAAUGGAAGUAUAAACAUUAUUAAAAAUUAUAUUAUUACGUUCUUUCCAUAUGAGCCAAACACAAAGAAGCCACAGUAACAGAAGGAAUGAUCUACGACUCCUCGAGCCACCUAAAUAGUUGGUAAAAUGAGUGGUGAGGCUAUGGUGAUCAACACCUGAAAAGCCAAGCCACAAACGAACUUGCUGCCAUAAAGAGCCGAAAAUUUCACAAUUAAUAAACAAAUGUUAGCGCUUUCAACGUGACCGCAACCCGCCACUCAAGAAAUAUCAUCAGCAUCUAUUAUACCACAGUCAAGGAGGUUGAUUUUUCUUGGCAACUUGUCACGAAGCAACCACCAAGCUAAGAUAGAAACCUUUUAGGGAACCAGAGGAUGCCAAAUAAGAGUCUAUUAAUCCCCCAAUCGAAGAGGAAGGCUGAGUAGUGAGCAACUGAUAUCCUGAACGCACCGAAUAACCCCCCACAAUGUCGGGGUGCCAUUGCAAGUGAUCUGAAACACUAGACAGCAAAGUAACAUUAGCAAGUAAGAUCCUACACUCCGCUACCAACUCCUCCUCCCAUGCCCACAACCUCCUCCUCCCCUACCAUGCCUCACCCCAUUCAUCCCAACCUAGAGAGAACAUGUAUAGUUGCCACUGUAAGCGACUUGUUCUCUGCUAACUCAAGCAACCGACUGAAACGCUGACAGAGAGGAACCUCCCCUAACCAUCGAUCAUACCAAAAAAAGAGUUUCUGCCCCAUCUCCCACCUUUUCGCAACACCAUCUCUGAAAACCAACCCACCCCCUCCUCACUUACACCAUCUCUAAUCCUAGCCACCUCCCUCCUCCAAUAAUAACCACUCCAGUCUCCAACUUCCAACCUCCUCACCAUACCUUGCAGCCAACACCCGAUACCAAAAACCACCUCUAUUAACUAACAUCCUCCAACACCACUUUCCUAACAUAGAUAUAUUAAACUCCCUCAACUAUGUAAACCCCAACCCUCCAUACAUGAUCCUCACUCCCCCCUCACACACACACACAAAAAUAAAGAAAGAAAGAAAGAGUAUAGACAAGCAGAGUGGUCAGGACGAAUUUUAAUAGUGUCAAGAAGCUGUUGGAACAAAAUGUGUUUAACAUUACCCUUUGAGUUUUGAUGAUAACUGUAACGCCCUAUUUAAUUAUUUUAUUGGGUUUAGAGUCUAAUUAUAUGAUUUAAUUGUUUAUGUGUUAAGUUGUUAUGUUGAUAAGGGACUUUAUUUAUUAUUUAGUAGAAAAUGAUUAAAAAUAGAAUAAUUAGACUUGAGGGGCUGAAUUAGAAUUUAGAGGAGUUUAGUGGAAUUAAGUAGAAUAAAGAAAAUUGAUUAAGGAAAUAAAAAUAAGGAAACUAAGAGUCAGAUAGUUUUUCACGUAAAACAAGAUUUUGGGAGAAAAGGGAGAAAGCGGUAGAACCUUGGGAUCAAUCAAUCUAAGGUAAGGGUGAAACUAACUUUCUCUAAUUCUAAGUUGUAUGAUUCUGAAACUGGAUUUAACAGGUGGUAGAUUGUAGUUUUGGGAAUUUGAGAAUUAGGUUUAGAAGUUGUAAUUGGUUGUUUUAAUAGUAGAAAAUCUGUUGAUUUCGUUUAGAAUUAGUGUUCAGACCUUAGAUCGUUCAUAUCGCAAUGUUCCAAUCAGUUUUGGGGUUUGGGUUGAUGAAAAUUGGGAUUUUCGCUUGAAAAGUCGGUGUCUAAACGUUUUUGCAAAUAAAGGAUUAUGUGACGUUUGGGAAAAUGAUUCUUGGGAUGGUUGAGACUUGAAAUUUCUGUAGAUUAUGAUAGAGCUAAGUGUCAGGAGCGUGUAGGCGAAAACGGAAUCAAAAUCCGAUUAACGGUUUCAAUUUUACGCGCGAAAUGGUGAAAAUCGUACUUUUUGAAAAGUUGAUUUCUGAACCUGAUGCUGUCAAAACGUGUCACGAUUUUGCAAGCGUGGCACAAUUUUGUUGGCCGAAAGUUCAGUGGUUCUGGGCAUAAAAACGCACCGGGAUUUCUAAAAAACGUGACACGAUUUUUGUGAACCAGAUCCUUCAUAUUUCACUAUUUUCACCCCUUUCCGCUUUGAACUGGGUUUUGGUGUAAAAAUGAAAGUUGUAGAUAAUUGUGUUAGCUUUCCAGUGGCUUUGGUUUGACUUCAAAAUGAUUUUUGGUUUUUGAGAUAUGAUGAAAAUACUCCAAGGAGGUCUUAGUGAAAUUUUAUGAAAAUUCCGCAUAACUAUUUCUAAGUCAACCCAAAACUUAUGGAUCGUCUCCAAACUUCAAAACUUGUGUACUAUGAGAUUAAUUAAGGUGCUUAAGAGUAUUUAACCUAUGUUGUGAUGGAUCUAAUUUGGUUUGACGUGAAUAUCUUUGUUGGAUAAUUUGAAAUACAUAUAUUAUGUGAAUAUGGUAUGUUGUAGAAAUAUUGUUGUUCAUAUCAUUCAAGUUGAUGUUGUUAACGAUGUUAAGUUGCAAGUUGUUAUAUUUGUUGUCAUUGUUGUUGUUGUGUUAAUGUCGUCAAGUUGCAAGUGGUCUAAGUUGUUAAAGUUAUUGGUUGCUGAGUCCAUGCAUACUCAUUAAAGUUGAGGGUUCAUGCCCUGUUGAAUGUAUAAUCAUUCAUAUCAAGUUGAGGGCUUGAUGCUCUGAGAACCUAUUUUAACACUCCGUUUUCCCAACUUAAAAAUUUCAAACAUAUAAUCAGAGUAAUCAUCACAUAAACGGAAUGCUACACUUCUAAAAUCGUAAACAAGAUAAUUAACUAAUUAUCCUUCAACAUAAUUCAAAUUCCAAAACAUUGCAGCGGAUAAGUUCAUCAUCAUAAAUAAAGUCUUGGCACGCAGGCCUCAUCAAAAUAUCUCAUAAAUUCAGUUAAACACCUUAUUCAUAAAUCAAAUACGUAAAGGAACAAGAAAUAGCCACAAAAGAUCCCAUCUCGUUACGUAUCAGAGCACCAAAAAGGACACAGUGAGGGAUAACCACUCACGACAGCAACUCCAGCUACUUAAACUUGAUCACCUGCAAGUUACUCACACGAAGAGCAAUCUUUCCAAGCAGAAGGGGUGAGAUUUCACAAAACAAUAAUAUUAAGCAUAUAAUUCAACAAUUAUAUUUAACAAUAAGAAAUCAUCAUAAUAUUCAUCAUAGAUAAUAAUGUAUCAUUUAUCACUUCAUUCAUAGUUAUAUAAACAAUCACAACUUCACAACUUAACAUCUUUGACUCGACAAAUGCGACUAUGCAACUUAAACCUCUUAUAUGCAUGUGGUACCAAUCAACGUAAUAAGUAUUAAUAUACUUACAAAGCAUCAAACCCCCAACAUAAUUGAGAUAAAGCUCCAGGGCAUCAAGCCCCCAACAUGGUGAGCAAAGGCUCCAGGGCAUCAAGCCCCCAACAAUGAAUGCUAAUGCAUGGACACAACAUCUUAACAACUUAAAACAACAUCAUCUUAUAAGUCCAAUAAUUUGGAACAUCAUCAUCAUCAUCUUAGACCGACUCAUGCAGCUUAGUUAAACAACAAACAGCAACAUAGGCAGUAUGCAAAUCAUCAUGAUAUAACAAUAUCGAAUGCAAUCAACAUCUCAUUUAUCAACAUAAUCCAUUUAAUGUAUAUAAAACAUUAUAAACAACAUCAAUUCAUAUGCAUCAGUCUUACUGGAACAAUAACAACAAGGUAAACAACUUAGUUUCUAACCUCUAAGAUUAACUCACAUAAACUUGUGCGACAAAGAUCGCAUUUAACAUAAGCAAGGCAUUCUGUAACACAAGUAAUCUCGAGGCGAGAGCCUCUGCUCGCCAUGGUGAGUUCAGGUUUAGUUCACAAAAAUUUCAUUCUAAAAUCUUUUCAGGUUCAAUCUCAUUCUCUAAUCUUUCCUAAUCAUUAUUAGACAUGUUCAGGCACUCAAAAGCAUCUAAGGAUCAACUCAAAAGUCAAUAGUACGAAAUCUGGAUAGCUCUCUGGUCAUGCUCGCUAUGGCGAGUUCAUCUGUUCGCUAUGGCGAGCUGCGACGUGCAACUCGCGAGGCGAGGGAAAAUGGUCCGCGAGGCGAGCGAUGAACUUCAUCACUCGCGAGGUGAGGAUCAUCGUUCGCGAGGGCGAGCGAUGAAUGUUGGCUCGGGCAAAAGUGUAGUUUUCACGAAAAUUCAUCUUUUCUCAUGGUUUUAAGCCUAACAUUGAUUCCAGAAUUCAUCCUACACAUUAUCUAAGGUCUAGGAACAGUUCCUACAUCAAUCUAACAAGUUUCCACCGUUUAAUCAUUAAUUCUACAAUUUUGACCUAGUUUUCAAAACCUCUAAAACUCAUCCUACAUCAUGUUAAACAUAACCAUUGAAUCACUGACUUAAUAGAAUUGCAAAGUUAGUCUCAACCUUACCUUAAUACUCAAAAUCGCAGCUUCCUAGGUCUUCUUGCUCUUCUCUUGGCUUUUUCUCCCUUUUUCCAAAUCUUAUUUUAUUAAACUAUAAAAUAAGUCACAACUCCUCAUAAAUCACAUAAAGUCAUCUCAAUCAUAUAUACCCCUUAAAUCACACAUAUAUCAUAUAAAUAUAAUAUAGACUCAUCUUACUAACUUAUAGACUUAAUUAAAUAAUUAAUUAAUUCAAAGAGGGCUUUACAACUCUCCCAAACUUAUAAGAUUUUCGUCCUCGAAAAUUUACCUCAAGCAAACAACUCUGGAUAAGAUUCCAACAUCUUACUCUCUAGCUCCCACGUUAAGCUUUCACCAGUCGCUCCGUCCCAAACGACUCUCACAAGAGGUAUAUCCUUGCCUCUNCUCUCUCUCUCUCUCUCUCUCUCUCUCUCUCUCUCUCUCUCUCUCUCUCUCUCUCUCUCUCUCUAAGUCUUCAUCUUUUAGCAGCUAGCAUUGUGCAUGGAGGGGACUGCUUAUGUUGAUUGGGUGGAGGUGUUGCCGAUUAUGUGGUGCUCGUGAUCAAUCAGAAAAUUUGACUGCAAAGGAAUUGCAUUACAAGAGGUAUAACUUUGAUUCCUUAUCUUGUUCAUUCGUAAGGAUCCAUUUCAAGGGAAAUAUUUUGUUUUUACUCGCUGUGUUUAUUCUGUUAUAAUAUACGAUUCCCUUUAGUGUUUAUAAGUGGAGGUAAUAUUCACCCCAAAAACUAAUUAUGUGGGAUUGUGUUAAGUCCAACCACAAUUUCUAAGAAUUCAUAUUUGGUGAUAGAUUU
rnacentral:lncRNA from 1 species